rnacentral:lncRNA from 1 species
AGAAAACAGAGGGUUUAGGUUUAUUAGUCUUUCGAUUGAAAACAUAUGAUUUGGUUUUGGGAAUAUCGGUGAAGUUUUUCUGGUUUGAAGAAUUCAUUAUCUGAUUCUAAUUUAAGCUUUUCAAGUUUAUGCAAAAAGUUUUCGAAUUUCUCAAGAAUUAAGGUUUUUUUUUUCUCGUGGAAUGUUUGCUCAGUACUCACUACUCAGUAGCUAGGUCAGAGCGAACUUGUUUAUGCAAAAAAGUUUGCUAAUUUCUCAAGAAUUCAGCCUUUUUUUUCCUCGUGAGUUUUUUGCUCAGUAGCUUUAGCUUGAUAUGUGGAAUUGUUGCAGAGGUUAUGUGGUAUGAGAUUUUCAGCUAAUGGUAGGUUUUAAUUACUUGAGCUGAGCUAGAAUCAUAGAAUGUAGCAAAUUUGGAAUUUUUUGCUUUCCCUUGCAGAUACAUCUUUGUUUGUUUGACUCAACUCAAUAGAGAGACCUUGUGUAUAUACAAAAGGUAGCUUGACAUUAUAGUGUAGUCAAUCUUGUUGGCCUAAGAAACAAAUUCGACUAUACAUUGUAUCAAUCCCUGGCUUCAAGCACAGAAGAGGCACAACAACAAAAACGCUUAUGAGUUCUAUGGCUUCUUGUUCCCUUUUUCAGCUACCGAGCAUUUCUUCCUGUGUAACGUUGCUGCUGUUGUUGUCCUGUUAAAGCUUGGUUUUUUCUUGAUGCAGACUUUUCUACACGUGCUUUGCGGACAGCUUGUUGGAUCUGCUUCUCAUGCUCUUUAAGCAAAUCUUCAAGAUUUCCACCAGGAGGCAUCAAUGGUCCUGAGUAAUUGAUUCUGUUUUUCCUUGGUGCAUUGCCCUGAUGACACAGCCCAAAGCAACUUAAUAAUUACAUACCAAAAGGUUUAAGGUACACGAUAUAACAAGAGGAGAGACUUACGGUUGAGUAAUCUCUGUUGGGAUCUCUCCUAUAAGAUUCACCAGACAAGUCUCCUGUUUGAGAUGUCCUAGACUUCAUCUCUGCAUUAGUUUGUCUUUUGAUGCUUCCACCUCCGUUCCAUUCUGUAUCAGCCACUGUUGGGUGAACCAUUGAAGAAGCAUGAGCUUUACCAUUCUGCUGGAUCCCUCUUCUUGGUGGUUCUAUCCUAAACCCGGUGCCACCUUCCUCGUCUGUUUUGAAUUUGUGGCUUAUGCAUGUGACUUUGGACUGUCCUGCAGCCAUAAACUCUGGUGUCUGGGCUGUUUUAAGAUCCUUUGGCCGUCCUCUUGUCACAGUUUCUCCCCCUCUUCUCUUGUUACCUUCUGCCCUUAGUCUGCAAACAAAACUUUCAUCAGAAAACCCCCAAGAGAAAGACUAGUGAAUGAAGAUGUAUGUAGCUUUACUUUCUUGCUUCUUCGUUGCGAAGCUUGGCAUCAAGUUCCUUGCUUGGUGGAUAUCUAGGUAAGUUUGAUGGAUUCGCAGGGAGUGGCUCCGUGGUGAAGAACUGAAGAGAAGAAAGAUUGAAACUCAUCAUGAGAAAUGUAUCUAAUAACUUGUUUAAGAAACAUGGAUUUCUGGUUAGUAUCGAUCUAUUACUUCGCUCCUCAAGGUAGAAGCAGCCGAUCCCCGUUUUUCAGGUUCUAUUGCCAGUAGCUUAUUGAUGAGCAUCAGAGCUGAUGAAGGGAAAUGGUUAAAGGUUUCAGCAAGAACAGGCUUGUAAGGAUGACUGGGUUUAAAGCUUGUUGCUAGUGGCAGUGUUGCUCUUCUCCAGUAAUCUUCCGAGGGUGAACCACAGAGCUUAAAGAUCUUGUGCAUCUGCUCCACCUGAUAAACAAAAAAGGAUAAUUAUCUCAUCAGCUGUCUAUAAGAAGUAAGACUCUGAGUCUCAGAAUUUGAAUGAAUGCUGCGUCGAAUUAUAAAGCCUGAGCUCAAAAACUGUUCUUAACAAACUAAAGAGGUGUUAGAGAGUUCAUUACUUCUGUGCGUCCUGGCAUAAUAGGUUUUCCGGCGAAGAGCUCAGUGAGAAUGCAGCCGGCGCUCCACAGGUCAAUGGCUGGUCCAUACUCAGUGGCACCGAGCAACAGCUCAGGUGCUCUGUACCAUAAGGUCACAACACGACUGGUCAGCUGCAGAUCUCCAUCACCUCGGUAAAAAUUCGCCAAUCCGAAAUCACCAAUCUUCAAGACACCUUCAUUAUUGAUUAAGAGAUUUGAGCCUUUAAUAUCACGGUGAAGAAUUCCUCGUCUGUGGCAAUGUUCAAGCCCACGGAACAAUUGCUGCAUAUAGCACUUGAUCUGAAAACGAAGUAGGACUCUUUAUAAAACUUGAAUUCUCCAAUCUUUCAAGUGCAUAGGAAAACAGAAUAUGUAAUACCUGAGGUUCAGAGAAUUUGAUUCCAGGAGUUGCAGCUAGACCUGCGAGAUCGUGUUCCAUGUACUCAAAGACAAGGUAGAGGCUACCUGAGAGUCUAGAGGUAACUAGACCUUCUAGCUUCAUAACAUUGGGGUGAUCAAGCUUACGAAGAAUGAGAAUCUCCCUGGCCAUAAACCGAACACUCUCUGGAUCCAUGUUCACAAACCGAACUUUCUUCAUCGCCACAAUCUUCCCCGUUUCAAGGUCUCUAGCUUUGUACACGCUGCUCGAGGAACCCAUCCUUUAAUGGCCUCCCCAGCAACAGAAGCCAGCCAAGACGGCCAUUCUGCAGCAGGGAGUUCCGUUUUAUUGCUGAUCACACGUGCUGGCUGCUGCUGUGCCGGCUGUGCAACCGGUAUAGCGGUGACUCUUCUUGUUGGAUUUCUGGUCGGAGCUCCCACAACAACGACCGGUUUGGUGCUGUUUCGAUCAGAUGAAGUGGAAGGACGGCGUGCCACAGGAUAACCAUUAGCCACAAUGGUGAUAGAAGCUGAAGAAGUCGUACGUGUGAAAGAUCCUUCCUUCUUGGAUGAAGACGAAGACGACGGGGGAUGAUGAGGGAGAAGUUGAAGGAUGGAUUUGCUGGAAUCUAAUAGAUCUUUAUCGGUAACGGCGGCGCUUGGUGAACGGGCGGUGGCACAAAUACAACCCAUUACAAAACAAACCACCGCUCAAAACUCCUACUUAAUGGAAAAAACUUUAGUUUUUGCCGAUUUGCUUUUAUCUAUCUAUCUCUCAUUCUCUCUACUAUGUCUUAGGUGAUAUGGUCGGCGACCAAAAACUUUCAUUUUUUGUUGUCUCUCUCACGUUUUUGUGAGUUUGUUGUCAUAGAAAAGUGGAACGUGCGUACCACUCAAUGGUCUCUUUUUCUUCUAGAAUCAAGAUUUAAAAUUAAAACGAUGAGGAUGAUGAAGGAAUC